GACGAACGCUGGCGGCGUGCUUAACACAUGCAAGUCGAACGAUAACGCCCGGGCUUGCUCGGUUUGAUUAGUGGCGAACGGGUGAGUAACACGUGAGUAACCUGCCCUUGACUUUGGGAUAACUUCAGGAAACCGGGGCUAAUACCGGAUAUGAGCUCCUGUUGCAUGGCGGGUGUUGGAAAGUUUGGCGGGUAAGGAUGGGCUCGCGGCCUAUCAGCUUGUUGGUGAGGUAGUGGCUCACCAAGGCGAUGACGGGUAGCCGGCCUGAGAGGGGGACCGGCCACAUUGGGACUGAGAUACGGCCCAGACUCCUACGGGAGGCAGCAGUGGGGAAUAUUGCACAAUGGGCGGAAGCCUGAUGCAGCGACGCCGCGUGCGGGAUGACGGCCUUCGGGUUGUAAACCGCUUUCGCCUGGGACGAAGCGAAAGUGACGGUAAUUGCAGAAGAAGCGCCGGCUAACUACGUG
rnacentral:rRNA from 1 species